CUCUCUCUCUGCCGAUGGAGAAACAAUCGAAGAUUUCAAUUUGAAUCCUUCGAUUAAAGGAGAAUUGAGUAUGAAAUUGUGUUCUCUGAGUGUUUGUUCCGCCGGUUUCAUCAUCCCCACCGACGUUGGUCACCAUCAUCAAUGACAGGUUCACCAAAUCGGAGAUUUGAAACUUGAAAUCACAGAGUUUUCGUUCAAGGAAGCUUCAAGAAUUUUCUUAUAGUUAAUUUGCAGAAACUGCAAUUGGAAAUGAUGUGGUACUCGUUUCACCAAUGAAGCAAGGAUGGUGUAAUGGGGUGUGGUUCCCUCGCGCCACCCCCAAAUAUUCUUUUUGUGUUUGGUUGGCUUUCCAAAACAGGCUUUGGACAGGGGAUCAGCUGCUGCAGUAGAACACGAGAGCUGCUGCAACUUGCAUCCUCUGUAAAAAUGCGAUUGAGACGAGGGAUCACCUCUUCUUCUGUUGUACUUUCAGCGCUGGUGUUUGGGAGGACCUUGCUUCACCUAUCUAUACCACUCGAUAUUCUACAGAUUGGAGAACUAUUGUUGAAUGCACCUCCCAUCACUAGACAGGCCGAACGAUGGGUUUUCUUGCGCGAUACAUCUUGCAGGCGGUCGUUUACACCCUUUGGCAGGAGCGGAAUGAUCGCCGUCACGGUACUUCCCCCACUCCCCAAGCUCAGCUUACACACCGGAUUGACCACCAAGUCCGUAAUCAGCUACUUACAAUCCAGCUCGGAGGUGACACAAGGUACAUGGAUGGAAUCGAGAAAUGGCUUGCUUCCCGUUUUUAAUUAUCUCUGGAUAACGAUUCCUCUGUUCUGUAUCAGUCUAUGUCAUAAACGUUGCACUUGAUGUACAAACGCUGUUUCUUUUUGAAAUCUAA